rnacentral:rRNA from 1 species
AACGAACGCUGGCGGCAGGCUUAACACAUGCAAGUCGAGCGCCCCGCAAGGGGAGCGGCAGACGGGUGAGUAACGCGUGGGAAUCUACCCUUUUCUACGGCAUAACGCAGGGAAACUUGUGCUAAUACCGUAUACGCCCUUCGGGGGAAAGAUUUAACGGGAAAGGAUGAGCCAGCGUUGGAUUAGCUAGUUGGUGGGGUAAAGGCCUACCAAGGCGACGAUCCAUAGCUGGUCUGAGAGGAUGAUCAGCCACAUUGGGACUGAGACACGGCCCAAACUCCUACGGGAGGCAGCAGUGGGGAAUAUUGGACAAUGGGCGCAAGCCUGAUCCAGCCAUGCCGCGUGAGUGAUGAAGGCCCUAGGGUUGUAAAGCUCUUUCACCGGUGAAGAUAAUGACGGUAACCGGAGAAGAAGCCCCGGCUAACUUCGUGCCAGCAGCCGCCGUAA